GAUGAACGCUGGCGGCGUGCCUAAUACAUGCAAGUCGAGCGAACAGACGAGGAGCUUGCUCCUCUGACGUUAGCGGCGGACGGGUGAGUAACACGUGGAUAACCUACCUAUAAGACUGGGAUAACUUCGGGAAACCGGAGCUAAUACCGGAUAAUAUAUUGAACCGCAUGGUUCAAUAGUGAAAGACGGUUUUGCUGUCACUUAUAGAUGGAUCCGCGCCGCAUUAGCUAGUUGGUAAGGUAACGGCUUACCAAGGCAACGAUGCGUAGCCGACCUGAGAGGGGGAUCGGCCACACUGGAAGUGAGACACGGUCCAGAGUCCUACGGGAGGCAGCAGUAGGGAAUCUUCCGCAAUGGGCGAAAGCCUGACGGAGCAACGCCGCGUGAGUGAUGAAGGUCUUCGGAUCGUAAAACUCUGUUAUUAGGGAAGAACAAAUGUGUAAGUAACUAUGCACGUCUUGACGGUACCUAAUCAGAAAGCCACGGCUAACUACGUG
rnacentral:rRNA from 1 species